GUGGGGUUGGGGACGAAGUGGUUCACCCGUCCCCCGAUCACGGCCAAGGUUCGCUUGCCCUGGGUGACCAUCUGCACGCCGCGGGUCUUGAACGGCUU
rnacentral:sRNA from 1 species